CCAGACUCCUACGGGAGGCAGCAGUGGGGGAUAUUGCACAAUGGGGGGAACCCUGAUGCGGCGACGCCGCGUGGGUGAAGGAGUAUUUCGGUAUGUAAAGCCCUAUCGGCAGGGAAGAAGCAAGACGGUACCUGACUAAGAAGCCCCGGCUAACUACGUGCCAGCAGCCGCGGGAAUACGUAGGGGGCGAGCGUUAUCCGGAUUCACUGGGUGUAAAGGGAGCGUAGACGGCCAAGCAAGCCAGGGGUGAAAGCCCGGGGCCCAACCCCGGGACUGCCCUUGGAACUGCUUGGCUGGAGUGCGGGAGGGGCAGGCGGAAUUCCUGGUGUAGCGGUGAAAUGCGUAGAUAUCAGGAGGAACGCCGGCGGCGAAGGCGGCCUGCUGGACCGCUACUGACGUUGAGGCUCGAAAGCGUGGGGAGCGCACAGGAUUAGAUACCCCGGUAA
rnacentral:rRNA from 1 species